GGUCGUCCCAUGUACUGC
rnacentral:siRNA from 1 species